ACGGAAGGCAGCAGUGAGGAAUAUUGGUCAAUGGGCGGGAGCCUGAACCAGCCAAGUAGCGUGCAGGAUGACGGCCCUACGGGUUGUAAACUGCUUUUGCGCAGGGAUAAAAAAGCCCACGUGUGGGCUCUUGCAGGUACUGCGUGAAUAAGGACCGGCUAAUUCCGUGCCAGCAGCCGCGGUAAUACGGAAGGUCCGAGCGUUAUCCGGAUUUAUUGGGUUUAAAGGGUGCGCAGGCGGAGAUGCAAGCCAGCCGUAAAAUCGUGGGGCUCAACCCCAUUCAGCGGUUGGAACUUCAUCCCUUGAUUGCGGCAGAGGGAGGUGGAACUCGUGGUGUAGCGGUGAAAUGCAUAGAUAUCACGAAGAACUCCGAUUGCGAAGGCAGCCUCCUGGACCGUAAAUGACGCUCAUGCACGAAGGCGCGGGUAUCAAACAGGAUUAGAUACCCUGGUA
rnacentral:rRNA from 1 species